rnacentral:lncRNA from 1 species
GCCCAAUUUCGUCAAUCAAAAUACCAAAUACACUUUUGAAGAAUAUAUACAAUUUUUUGUACCACAUAUUUUAAACUAUAAAGACACACAGUAGGUACCAAUAUCAGUUUCCAUUUAUUUAUUUUUGGACCUUUAAGAUUCUGACUAUAUCGUCUAGAUUCUGUCCACAAUUCUUCACAAUGUGGCUUAGAAAAUCACUCUUAUCCAGUAUGUACUUUCUUGUCAGCAUACUUUCCUUGUUAUUCAUUCAGCACAUGCUAACUAGUUUCUAACUUUGCAUCAGGUAAUGCACUGGUCCCAUAGGAUAUGGAAUACAAUGGAAUGUCAAGUUCAUGCUUCAGAAAUCUCGAUAC